UACGUAGGCAGCGAGCGUUGUUCGGAAUUACUGGGCGUAAAGAGUGUGUAGGCGGCGCUCUAAGUUCGGUGUGAAAUCUCUCGGCUUAACUGGGAGGGUGCGCCGGAAACUGGAGUGCUCGAACGUGGGAGAGGAAAGCGGAAUUCCUGGUGUAGCGGUGAAAUGCGUAGAUAUCAGGAGGAACACCUGCGGUGUAGACGGCUUUCUGGACCAUUGUUGACGCUGAGACACGAAAGCGUGGGUAGCAAACAGG
rnacentral:rRNA from 2 species